GUAGGGAAUCUUCCACAAUGGACGCAAGUCUGAUGGAGCAACCCGCGUGAGUGAAGAAGGUCUUCGGAUCGUAAAGCUCUGUUGUUGGUGAAGAAGGAUAGAGGCAGUAACUGGUCUUUAUUUGACGGUAAUCAACCAGAAAGUCACGGCUAACUACGUGCCAGCAGCCGCGGUAAUACGUAGGUGGCAAGCGUUGUCCGGAUUUAUUGGGCGUAAAGCGAGCGCAGGCGGAAUGAUAAGUCUGAUGUGAAAGCCCACGGCUCAACCGUGGAACUGCAUCGGAAACUGUCAUUCUUGAGUGCAGAAGAGGAGAGUGGAACUCCAUGUGUAGCGGUGGAAUGCGUAGAUAUAUGGAAGAACACCAGUGGCGAAGGCGGCUCUCUGGUCUGCAACUGACGCUGAGGCUCGAAAGCAUGGGUAGCGAACAGGAUUAGAUACCCUGGUAGUCCAUGCCGUAAACGAUGAGCGCUAGGUGUUGGGGACUUUCCGGUCCUCAGUGCCGCAGCAAACGCAUUAAGCGCUCCGCCUGGGGAGUACGACCGCAAGGUUGAAAC
rnacentral:rRNA from 1 species